AGCCCUUGAACCCUGAUGGUAUUAUUCAGGGACCUUAAUUCCAGCAUGUCUAAUUUUGUUUAAAAAAAUUCCUGCUCUUCCUCCAGGCUAAUGGUUCCAUGCAUUGAGAAGUUCAUCCGAAAGAAAUCAGCAUGUGGAAAAGCCUUCUGUUU
rnacentral:lncRNA from 11 species